UACAGAGGUCCCAAGCGUUGUUCGGAUUCACUGGGCGUAAAGGGUGCGUAGGCGGCCGGGUAAGUCUGAUGUGAAAUCUUGCGGCUCAACCGCGCAACUGCAUUGGAUACUAUUUGGCUUGAGGGUUGGAGGGGGGACUGGAAUUCUCGGUGUAGCAGUGAAAUGCGUAGAUAUCGAGAGGAACACCUGUGGUGUAGACAGCUUACUGGACCAUUUCUGACGCUGAGACACGAAAGCGUGGGUAGCAAACAGG
rnacentral:rRNA from 1 species